GAUAUAUCUUCCGGAUCAUUGCCUUUGUCAAUGCAUCCCCAGUGAGUCAUCUUUCAUCUACCGAUUGUCGGUAAUGAUUGUUUCUCCCUUCGAUUUGGUCAUCAUUUUCCUUUUUACCUAGUAUUUGGUAUCUCGAUGCCCUUCUCUUUCGGUCGAUUUAUCCUUUAUUAACCCAAUAACUGGUUGUGGAUAAUCUUCCAUGCGAGUAUGUUAUCUACGUUCUGACGGUAAUA
rnacentral:lncRNA from 1 species